rnacentral:rRNA from 1 species
GCGAUGCCUGUACCCGAAACCGACACAGGUAGGUAGGUAGAGUAUACCAAGGGGCGCGAGACAACUCUCUCUAAGGAACUCGGCAAAAUUACCUCGUAACUUCGGAAGAAGAGGUACCCCUUCACGGGGGUUGCAAUAGAUUGACCCUGGCGACUGUUUACCAAAAACACAGGUCUCCCCUAAUUCGUAAGAAAAAGUAUGGGGGCUGACGCCUGCCCAGUGCCGGAAGGUUAAAGAAGUUGGUUAGUCCUUGGACAAAGCUAGCGACUGAAGCCCCGGUGAACGGCGGCCGUAACAAUAACGGCCCUAAGGUAGCGAAAUUCCUUGUCGGGUAAGUUCCGACCCGCACGAAAGGCGUAACGAUCAGGGUACUGUCUCGGAGAGAGGCUCGGCGAAAUAGACAUGUCUGUGAAGAUGCGGACUACCUGCACCUGGACAGAAAGACCCUAUGAAGCUUUACUGUAUCUUGGAAUUGGGUUUGGUCUUUGCAUGCGCAGGAUAGGUGGGAGGCUUUGAAGAUGAUCUUGCGGGGUCGUUGGAGCCACUGGUGAGAUACCACCCUUGCAAUGAUAAAAUCCUAACUUUGAACCGUUAUCCGGUCAAAGAACAGUUUCAGGUGGGCAGUUUGACUGGGGCGGUCGCCUCCUAAAAGGUAACGGAGGCGUGCAAAGGUUCCCUCAGGCUGGUUGGACAUCAGUCGCAGAGUGUAAGGGCAUAAGGGAGCUUGACUGCGAGACCAACAAGUCGAGCAGAGACGAAAGUCGGCCUUAGUGAUCCGGCGCUUCCGAGUGGAAGGGGCGUCGCUCAACGGAUAAAAGUUACUCUAGGAUAACAGGCUGAUCUCCCCCAAGAGUUCACAUCGACGGGGAGGUUUGGCACCUCGAUGUCGGCUCAUCGCAUCCUGGGGCGGUAGUACGUCCCAAGGGUUGGGCUGUUCGCCCAUGAAAGCGGUACGCGAGCUGGGUUCAGAACGUCGUGAGACAGUUCGGUCCAUAUCCGGUGCAGGCGUUAGAGUAUUGCGAAGACUCCUCCUUAGUACGAGAGGACCGGGGGGAAUGCACCGCUGGUGUACCAGUUAUCGUGCCAACGGUAAACGCUGGGUAGCCAAGUGCAGUGGAUAACUGCUGAAAGCAUCUAAGUAGGAAGCCAGCUUCAAGAUGAGUACUCUCACCGCUUCAAGCGGGUAAGAUCACGGCAAGAACAGCCGUUUGAUAGGCAUCAAGUGUAA